GCCCUUGUAGCUCAGUGGUAGAGCAGCUGUCUUGUAAACAGCAGGUCGUCUGUUCAAAUCAGAUCGGGGGCU
rnacentral:tRNA from 2 species